GACCCACGCCAGCCCAUGCCGCUCUCAGCUCGUGAAGUGUCUAAAAAUCGCAGCUCCGGCAACCACCACCCCCCUGCGCUAUGGACGCAAAGCAACGGGCUCGCUCGUGUCUCUGUAUGAGACCACAUCGAAACGAAGGCGAGAGGGACGCGGCCCCGCCGACAGAAGGCUACGUCUUAUCCGUUCGCCGAGGACAAAAUGUGCCACCUUUGCAUGUCUGAUAGAUUGGAACGAUGGAGCGUUCUGGGAAGAGAAUUUUGAUGACCUCUAAUGGAGAUGAGAUCUCAAAGGGUAUCGCGUACAAUCUGGCAAAGUGUGGUUGCAGGCUAGUUUUGAUGGGUGAUGAAGUUGUCCUUCAGAGCAUGGUGGCAGAGAUUACAAGUUCCUUGAAGGGAAUUGAUCAGCCUGAAUAUGGAAGAAGAGAAGGAGGCUGCUUUUGAUGUUGCUGUGGAUAAAGCAUGAAAAUCCUUAGGGGCAUUGGAUGCUUUCAUUAAUUGUUACAUCUUUGAAGGCAUCUGCAAUGGAGACUGGCAAGCAUAAGAUAAGAGUUAACAGCAUUGCCCGGGGCUUGCACUUGGGCGACAAGUAUCUAAGCAGAAUAAAUGAUGAAUAUUUUGAUUAGCCUCAGAUACAUUCUGGAAUUAAAUCUGUGCCAGAGAUGUUACAUGGCUAGUGGUGCCAUUUGAAGAUCUGAGUGCAGUUGGGACUUACAUGUACAAUUUGGUACAUGGUUUGUCGAAAUAAAGUUUUUUCAAGAAACAGGCAGUCAUGACUGCUACUGAGAUUUCUUACCGUGGCAUAGAGUGAGUACUCUUCUUUAA